rnacentral:rRNA from 1 species
CCGGCGCACGGGUGAGUAACGCGUGUGCAACCUGCCCGGCACAGUGGGAUAAUCCGGAGAAAUCCGGUCUAAUACCGCAUGACGCGGGAAGGGCGCAUGCCUUUUCCGCCAAAGGAGGCGACUCCGGUGCCGGCUGGGCACGCGUGACAUUAGCUAGUUGGCGGGGCAACGGCCCACCAAGGCGACGAUGUCUAGGGGUUCUGAGAGGAAGGUCCCCCACACUGGUACUGAGACACGGACCAGACUCCUACGGGAGGCAGCAG